ensembl:lncRNA
CAUCUGUCCUAAUCCAGCCAAUAGACUGGGUCAUGUUGGGCCAUGGAGGCCAGAGGCAAAGUGAGGACACACGCCACAUCCAGCGUUGCAACUUUUCAUUAGUUUAACUUAAGAUAACUCACUUGAUAAGAAAUUCAAAUGAAGUCAUUAAAAGUCUCCUCUGGGUUCAGACCAACAAAGGUCUCAUUUGUUUCUUAUCCUCUCUUAACCCAUUCUAAGAACAGAACAAAUCCUUGUGACAAGAAUGCCAUUGCCCUGGAUCUGGAUCUGGAAAACCUGGAUGUUUGGACUCUCAUUCUGACAGCACCCAUUGGAUCCAUUGUGGCUGUCACACUCUCUGUCCUCCCUAUUGGACCGGCACUAUCUGGAGGAUUGCACAGAGCUGGAAAACAAUAAAUGAGUGUCUAUCAUCUUGAGAUGAUAAGCAUCUGGUGCUAGAGGUAAUAAUGAGAUGAUCUGGGGCCUUCAGGCACUUGGCAGAAUUUCACCCAAAAGUAUAUGAGCACACAGACGGCAGAUUCUGAUUUUGCACAAAGGGUUUAUAAAAACAGCACAUAUGCUAGAACCAGUAUCCAGCAUUAGACUUUGAAUGUAAACCCUUCUCCUCCCCAAAAUGACAAUUUUUUAUUAUUCAUGACCUC